CUAUACUGCAGUCGAGCGAUGGAUGGGAGCUUGCUCCCUGAAGUUAGCGGCGGACGGGUGAGUAACACGUGGGCAACCUGCCUGUAAGACUGGGAUAACUUCGGGAAACCGGAGCUAAUACCGGAUACAUUCUUUCUUCGCCUGAAGAAAGAUGGAAAGAUGGUUUCGGCUAUCACUUACAGAUGGGCCCGCGGCGCAUUAGCUAGUUGGUGAGGUAACGGCUCACCAAGGCAACGAUGCGUAGCCGACCUGAGAGGGUGAUCGGCCACACUGGGACUGAGACACGGCCCAGACUCCUACGGGAGGCAGCAGUAGGGAAUCUUCCGCAAUGGACGAAAGUCUGACGGAGCAACGCCGCGUGAGCGAUGAAGGUUUUCGGAUCGUAAAGCUCUGUUGUUAGGGAAGAACAAGUGCGAGAGUAACUGCUCGCACCUUGACGGUACCUAACCAGAAAGCCACGGCUAACUACGUGCCAGCAGCCGCGGUAAUACGUAGGUGGCAAGCGUUGUCCGGAAUUAUUGGGCGUAAAGCGCUCGCAGGCGGUCCUUUAAGUCUGAUGUGAAAGCCCACGGCUCAACCGGGGAGGGUCAUUGGAAACUGGGAAACUUGAGUGCAGAAGAGGAGAGUGGAAUUCCACGUGUAGCGGUGAAAUGCGUAGAGAUGUGGAGGAACACCAGUGGCGAAGGCGACUCUCUGGUCUGUAACUGACGCUGAGGAGCGAAAGCGUGGGGAGCGAACAGGAUUAGAUACCCUGGUUAGUCCACGCCGUAAACGAUGAGUGCUAAAGUGUUAGGGGGUUUCCGCCCCUUAGUGCUGCAGCUAACGCAUUAAGCACUCCGCCUGGGGAGUACGGUCGCAAGACUGAAACUCAAAGGAAUUGACGGGGGCCCGCACAAGCGGUGGAGCAUGUGGUUUAAUUCGAAGCAACGCGAAGAACCUUACCAGGUCUUGACAUCCUCUGACAACCCUAGAGAUAGGGCUUUCCCUUCGGGGACAGAGUGACAGGUGGUGCAUGGUUGUCGUCAGCUCGUGUCGUGAGAUGUUGGGUUAAGUCCCGCAACGAGCGCAACCCUUGAUCUUAGUUGCCAGCAUUCAGUUGGGCACUCUAAGGUGACUGCCGGUGACAAACCGGAGGAAGGUGGGGAUGACGUCAAAUCAUCAUGCCCCUUAUGACCUGGGCUACACACGUGCUACAAUGGACAGAACAAAGGGCUGCAAGACCGCAAGGUUUAGCCAAUCCCAUAAAUCUGUUCUCAGUUCGGAUCGCAGUCUGCAACUCGACUGCGUGAAGCUGGAAUCGCUAGUAAUCGCGGAUCAGCAUGCCGCGGUGAAUACGUUCCCGGGCCUUGUACACACCGCCCGUCACACCACGAGAGUUUGCAACACCCGAAGUCGGUGAGGUAACCUUUAUGAGCCAGCCGCCG
rnacentral:rRNA from 1 species